rnacentral:misc_RNA from 1 species
UACAAAGUCAGCUGCAGAAAACCAGGCCGCGUUCUCCACUGAUUCAGCUGAAGCUGGCGUUAGUUCUCCAAUAACUACUGCUACUUCUAACAAUAAUAUCCCUAUGCUUCCUACGACAACUACCCUCAACAUGGCUUCUCUUAAAUCAUGUUACUUCCACAGGCCAAGGUUUACUUCUGGGCAAGAAGCCAUUGAAAUGUAGGUGUUAAGAGUUGUGCAUGGCUAGCUAGGAGGGAUUAACUUAGAAAAACGCAUGAGUAGUAGCAUAUACAAGAAGUAAAAGUCCUCUAGCUGUAUAGCCAAACAAUACCCUCAACAGAAGAAAAGAUCGAUCUACCGGUAAGGAAGAUAUUCUCAAGAUUGUUGUCAUCAUCAAUACCAUACUACUUACAACAAAUACAUAAAUGUAUACAUAAAGGACAGAUGAACUGAUUAAUGGGAGUGGGGUCUCUCUCUCUCUCUAUAUUUUGUACCCUCUUUGUAGUUGUGUGCUGGACCACACUGAACAAUAGCAAAAAUUAAAGGCAGGCUAGUAGUAACCCCUUAGUUAUGAUGGUAAUUUCCUCCCUUUUCUCUGCUUUUACUGUUGUAACUUGCUAUGAUGUAAAAAAUUGAAGUCGAAA